CUCAUGUUGUUAUGAAAACAUUCGCGUAUUAGAAUGAUUGGGAAAGAUCACGUAACAUUUAAGCAGCUUUCUGUCUGUACCGCCUUAAUUUACAUGCUUUCACUCACUUUAAUUCUCAG